CGCCAGACUCCUACGGGAGGCAGCAGUGGGGGAUAUUGCACAAUGGGGGGAACCCUGAUGCAGCGACGCCGCGUGGGUGAAGGAGUGCUUCGGCAUGUAAAGCCCUAUCGGCAGGGAAGAAGCAAGACGGUACCUGACUAAGAAGCCCCGGCUAACUACGUGCCAGCAGCCGCGGGAAUACGUAGGGGGCAAGCGUUAUCCGGAUUCACUGGGUGUAAAGGGAGCGUAGACGGCGACGCAAGUCUGGAGUGAAAGCCCGGGGCCCAACCCCGGGACUGCUCUGGAAACUGCGUCGCUGGAGUACGGGAGGGGCAGGCGGAAUUCCUGGUGUAGCGGUGAAAUGCGUAGAUAUAAGGAAGAACACCAGUGGCGAAGGCGGAUGACUGGACGGCAACUGACGGUGAGGCGCGAAAGCGUGGGUAGCGAACGGGAUUAGAUACCCUAGUA
rnacentral:rRNA from 1 species